rnacentral:rRNA from 1 species
GGGGAGCCGUAGGGAAACCGAGUCUUAACCGGGCGUUAAGUUGCAGGGUAUAGACCCGAAACCCGGUGAUCUAGCCAUGGGCAGGUUGAAGGUUGGGUAACACUAACUGGAGGACCGAACCGACUAAUGUUGAAAAAUUAGCGGAUGACCUGUGGCUGGGGGUGAAAGGCCAAUCAAACCGGGAGAUAGCUGGUUCUCCCCGAAAGCUAUUUAGGUAGCGCCUCGUGAAUUCAUCUCCGGGGGUAGAGCACUGUUUCGGCUAGGGGGCCAUCCCGGCUUACCAACCCGAUGCAAACUGCGAAUACCGGAGAAUGUUAUCACGGGAGACACACGGCGGGUGCUAACGUCCGUCGUGAAGAGGGAAACAACCCAGACCGCCAGCUAAGGUCCCAAAGUCAUGGUUAAGUGGGAAACGAUGUGGGAAGGCCCAGACAGCCAGGAUGUUGGCUUAGAAGCAGCCAUCAUUUAAAGAAAGCGUAAUAGCUCACUGGUCGAGUCGGCCUGCGCGGAAGAUGUAACGGGGCUAAACCAUGCACCGAAGCUGCGGCAGCGACGCUUAUGCGUUGUUGGGUAGGGGAGCGUUCUGUAAGCCUGUGAAGGUGUGUCGUGAGGCAUGCUGGAGGUAUCAGAAGUGCGAAUGCUGACAUAAGUAACGAUAAAGCGGGUGAAAAGCCCGCUCGCCGGAAGACCAAGGGUUCCUGUCCAACGUUAAUCGGGGCAGGGUGAGUCGACCCCUAAGGCGAGGCCGAAAGGCGUAGUCGAUGGGAAACGGGUUAAUAUUCCCGUACUUGGUGUUACUGCGAAGGGGGGACGGAGAAGGCUAUGUUGGCCGGGCGACGGUUGUCCCGGUUUAAGCGUGUAGGUGUGUGUU